CAGGGGGGUGCUACCAUGCAAGUCGAACGUGAUCCGCCCUUCGGGGUGGUGAAAGUGGCGCACGGGUGAGUAACGCGUGGAUAAUCUGCCCGAGGAUUUGGGAUAACAUCUCGAAAGGGGUGCUAAUACCGAAUAAGCCCACGGGGUCUACGGAUCUUGCGGGAAAAGGGGGGGACCUUCGGGCCUCCUGUCCUUGGAUGAGUCUGCGUACCAUUAGCUAGUUGGUGGGGUAAUGGCCUACCAAGGCGACGAUGGUUAGCUGGUCUGAGAGGAUGAUCAGCCACACUGGAACUGAGACACGGUCCAGACUCCUACGGGAGGCAGCAGUGGGGAAUUUUGCGCAAUGGGGGAAACCCUGACGCAGCAACGCCGCGUGGGUGAUGAAGGCCUUCGGGUCGUAAAGCUCUGUCUGGAGGGAAGAAAUGAUUGGGAGCUAAUACCUCUUGAUCUUGACGGUACCUCUGAAGGAAGCACCGGCUAACUCCGUGCCAGCAGCCGCGGUAAUACGGAGGGUGCAAGCGUUGUUCGGAAUUAUUGGGCGUAAAGCGCGUGUAGGCGGUCUUUUAAGUCUGAUGUGAAAGCCCCGGGCUCAACCUGGGAAGUGCAUUGGAAACUGGGAGGCUUGAGUACGGGAGAGGAGAGUGGAAUUCCUAGUGUAGGAGUGAAAUCCGUAGAUAUUAGGAGGAACACCGGUGGCGAAGGCGGCUCUCUGGACCGAUACUGACGCUGAGACGCGAAAGCGUGGGUAGCAAACAGGAUUAGAUACCCUGGUAGUCCACGCCGUAAACGAUGAGUACUAGGUGUUGCGGGUAUUGACCCC
rnacentral:rRNA from 1 species